rnacentral:rRNA from 1 species
CUACGGGUGGCUGCAGUGAGGAAUAUUGCACAAUGGAGGAAACUCUGAUGCAGCAACGCCGCGUGGAGGAUGACGCAUUUCGGUGUGUAAACGCCGUUUAUAUGUCAAGAAAAUGACGGUAGCAUAUGAAUAAGCUCCGGCUAACUCCGUGCCAGCAGCCGCGGUAAUACGGAGGGAGCAAGCGUUACUCGGAAUCACUGGGCGUAAAGGACGCGUAGGCGGGUUGGAAAGUCAGGUGUGAAAUCCUACAGCUUAACUGUAGAACUGCACUUGAAACUUCUAAUCUAGAGUAUGGGAGGGGGAGAUGGAAUUAGUGGUGUAGGGGUAAAAUCCGUAGAUAUCACUAGGAAUACCUAAAGCGAAGGCGAUCUCCUGGAACAUUACUGACGCUAAGGCGUGAAAGCGUGGGGAGCAAACAGGAUUAGAUACCCCUGUAGUC